GAAAUGACUCUCGGCAACGGAUAUCUCGGCUCUCGCAUCGAUGAAGAACGUAGCGAAAUGCGAUACUUGGUGUGAAUUGCAGAAUCCCGUGAACCAUCGAGUCUUUGAACGCAAGUUGCGCCCGAGGCCACUAGGCCGAGGGCACGCCUGCCUGGGUGUCACGC
rnacentral:rRNA from 1 species